UACGUAGGGGGCGAGCGUUGUCCGGAUUUAUUGGGCGUAAAGAGCGUGUAGGCGGCCAGGUAGGUCUGCUGUGAAAACUCGAGGCUCAACCUCGAGACGUCGGCGGAAACCAUCUGGCUAGAGUCCGGAAGAGGAGAGUGGAAUUCCUGGUGUAGCGGUGAAAUGCGCAGAUAUCAGGAGGAACACCAGUGGCGAAGGCGGUGCUCUGGGCCGGAACUGACGCUGAGGAGCGAAAGCGUGGGGAGCAAACAGG
rnacentral:rRNA from 1 species